rnacentral:rRNA from 1 species
AAUGAACGUUGGCGGCGUGGAUUAGGCAUGCAAGUCGCGCGACAAGGAACCUUCGGGUUCUGGAGGAGCGGCAAACGGGGUAGUAAGGCAUCGGAACGUACCCUCUUGUUGGGAAUAGCCGCGGGAAACUGCGAGUAAUGCCCAAUAAUCCCUACGGGGCAAAGGUCCGCCGCAGGAGGAGCGGCCGAUGUGAUACCAGCUAGUUGGUGAGGUAAUGGCUCACCAAGGCUUAGACGUCUAGGGGGUNUGAGAGCAUGGCCCCCACACUGGGACUGAGAUACUGCCCAGACACCUACGGGUGG